GAUCGUCACACAGCUGCAGAGCCCCUCAUUCUCCAGUCGCUUCAGCUCACGCUCAAGUUCAGCUUUGUAUUCCACAUUGCCAGAGUCUUUUCUGCACGUCAAGCAGACGAACCCACCUGCAGGAAACAGGGGUCAAACAGGUCUCUGACCACAUGGACAGGAACGUGACCGACGCACAGAGCUCCGCACAUCACAACCACGUCAAAGGAUUCUGUCGAAAGACAUCAAGAAAUCUCCCCAGACCUGACGAAAGAACAUCCCCAUGGAUCUGUAGCCCAUCUCUGUCUCCAGAAAACAACCACUGAUGUGUUGCAGCCAGCUGCUACAUGGGCAUUUCCUCAGUCAAGUCCAGUACCUGGGGUUCUCAGCACUAAGGCACCUGUGUGCUGGAUUGUCACAGUUGAGACUUGCUCAUGAUGCCUCAGUUGCUAUGCUUCAUCUGAAUCUCAACAAGUAACCCGUCAUGUGACACAGUCAUUCCAGUAUAUAAGAAUAUAUAAGAAUUUGUAAUUUCAAUUUCAAUUUAUUUUCAUUUAUAUAGCGCCAAAUCACAAUAGAGUUGCUUCAAGGCGCUUCACACAGGUAAGGUCUAACCUUACUAACCCCCAGAGCAACAGUGGUAAGGAAAAACUCCCUCUGAGGAAGAAAUCUCAAGCACACCAGACAGAAACCUCAAGCAGACCAGACAAUAGAAGUAUAGAAGAAUUUGUUCUCCAGAGAGGACUUGAACCAGCCAUUAUCUUAAGUCAAUGAUUAACUUCUAAGGGAUGCAUAUAUAAUCCACGUGCACACCUUUUUCCACAAGAUGGAAUUUAUGUGGGAAUUAUCUGUGGUGAUAAUCUGUGUACCUGCACAUACUGCAGAUCAUGUGUACAGUGGGCUGAUAGAGGCUACAACACUUCAACAUUAGCAAGUGCAAAAAAUGUGAACAAAUACAAAAAAAUUUAAAAUAAAAAUCACCAGACUCAAUAAAGUUCCUUUGGACAGAAACCCCUUUUUGUGUUUGAAUUACUUCUGGUGUGUUGAGUAGCUUUGCAAGCAUGCCUGAGUUUGUGCAUGUACUGUGUCAGCUUGCAGCAGUUACAUAAAUUGUUACAUGUGCUGUUAUAUUUGUGUUUUCUGUCUUAGCAAGGUUUUUAUUAAUUUGCAAGGUGUUUUUGAUGUAACUAUCUGUUCCAGAAUUGAUGCAGGUUUGUUUGUUUUUUCCAUUUGUCUUUUCUGCACCUCCAAAUGCUGCUUUAUUUUACAUUGUUGCAGCCUCCAUCCACAACUGUAGGAUACAUGAAAAUAGAACUAAAAAAAAUACUAUAUAUGCAGACGGGGGUGGGGGGGGGGGGGGGGGCACAGGAAAAACAGAAAUUAAAGAAAGUCAAUUACACAGAACAUUUCUUAUUUGUGGAGGAUUAGCAGCAAUCUUCCAU